ACACCUCAACCCUCCAAUGUUUUUGCAUUGCAGGUGUUGGUAGUGAGCGCUGCCGGUCUUUGGAUCGGAUCGCUUUAAAAUCAUUAGCUGGAUCCAUUCUGACCUGGUUCUACUCGGCGUAAUAAGUUAUUAUCGUCGAGGACGCCUGGCCUUGUAGGCAGGGCGGCCACAGUAAGGGUGUUUGAACCGCUUCCAACACGUCUUGCUCUUGUAGCAAACACUUGAAC
rnacentral:misc_RNA from 1 species